rnacentral:piRNA from 1 species
UNGGAAAUUGGCUUUACAGAAAUAAAACCA